GACGAACGCUGGCGGCGCGCCUAACACAUGCAAGUCGAACGGAGAGUGAAGAGCUUGCUUUUCACUUUUAGUGGCGGACGGGUGAGUAACACGUGAGCAAUCUGCCUCUGUGAGGGGGAUAACGUCUGGAAACGGACGCUAAUACCGCAUAACAUAUAGUGACCGCAUGGUCGGUAUAUCAAAGAUUUAUCGCACAGAGAUGAGCUCGCGGCUGAUUAGCUAGUUGGCGGGGUAACGGCCCACCAAGGCGACGAUCAGUAGCCGGACUGAGAGGUUGAACGGCCACAUUGGGACUGAGACACGGCCCAG
rnacentral:rRNA from 1 species